rnacentral:rRNA from 1 species
CACGUAGGGGACGAGCGUUGUCCGGAUUCAUUGGGCGUAAAGGGCGCGUAGGCGGCCAGCACAGGUCAGUUGUGAAAUCUCCGAGCUUAACUCGGAAAGGUCAACUGAUACUGUGCGGCUAGAGUGCGGAAGGGGCAACUGGAAUUCUUGGUGUAGCGGUGAAAUGCGUAGAUAUCAAGAGGAACACCUGCGGCGAAGGCGGGUUGCUGGGCCGACACUGACGCUGAGGCGCGAAAGCCAGGGGAGCGAACGGG